GCGUCUCUCGCGCUCCGAGCGCGGGGCUGGCUUGGGGGCUGCUGGUCCUUCUUGGCCCCCGUCGCUGCGCACCGAGUUUGUGUUUAAGGAGAAACUAACAAUGAAAACGGACUCGUUGACGGAGGAAAAGGUGGAAUGCAGCCUCUGGUGCUGUUUGAGCGAUCCCUCUCCCCCGGCCUGGCCGCGCGCUGCUGUGUUCUGGAAAGGCUCAUUGUACCGUCGAGGCGGCAGGGCCUUGUUCUGUCACCCAUGCUGGAGGGCAGUAGCAUGAUCACAGCUCACUGUAGCCUCCACCUUCUGGGCUCAAUCCUCCGGCCUCAGCCUUCCAAGUAGCUGGGACUACAG